rnacentral:rRNA from 1 species
GAUGAACGCUGGCGGCGUGCCUAAUACAUGCAAGUCGAGCGAACGGACGAGAAGCUUGCUUCUCUGAUGUUAGCGGCGGACGGGUGAGUAACACGUGGAUAACCUACCUAUAAGACUGGGAUAACUUCGGGAAACCGUAGCUAAUACCGGAUAAUAUUUUGAACCGCAUGGUUCAAAAGUGAAAGACGGUCUUGCUGUCACUUAUAGAUGGAUCCGCGCUGCAUUAGCUAGUUGGUAAGGUAACGGCUUACCAAGGCAACGAUGCAUAGCCGACCUGAGAGGGUGAUCGGCCACACUGGAACUGAGACACGGUCCUGACUCCUACGGGAGGCAGCAGUAGGGAAUCGUCCGCAAUGGGCGAAAGCCUGACGGAGCAACGCCGCGUGAGUGAUGAAGGUCUUCGGAUCGUAAGACUCUGUUAUUAGGGAAGAACAUAUGUGUAAGUAACUGUGCACAUCUUGACGGUACCUAAUCAGAAAGCCACGGCUAACUACGUG